UGAGCAAUCUGCCCUUCACAUCGGAAUAACCAUUGGAAACGACGUCUAAUGCCGAAUACGACCUCCUUUCGCAUGAUCGGAGGUGGAAAGCUCCGGCGGAGAAGGAUGAGCUCGCGGCCUAUCAGCUAGUUGGUGGGGGUAAUGGCCCACCAAGGCGACGACGGGUAGCCGGCCUGAGAGGGUGACCGGCCACACUGGGACUGAGACACGGCCCAGACCUCCCGUACGGGGAGCAGCG
rnacentral:rRNA from 1 species